AGACAGGCGAGUGAGCCCAUCUUAGACCAUUUAGCCCCAGUUGUGCCCCUAGAUGAUUGCACACGAGGGACCCCAGGCAAGACCAUCAGAAGAGCUGACAGCUGAAACCAGUCUACGUUUGCUGGCCUAUAGAAUUGGCAUGUGGAGUCUGAAAUGGCCAGUCUGAAAUUGGUCUCGGUUUCCAAAUAAGUGGGAUCUCUGCGAUUUGCUCUGGUGGAAACAUUCUUCCUGAGCAUAUGAAGACCUCUAAAUUAGCAGAGCCCAAGGUCUUGGAGAGCAAAGAUUUUCGAAGUUAUCCAGCUCAAGAUUCCCUGAUCCAUGAAUUCUGGAAGAGAGAGAAAUAUCAUCUUGCGUUGGUUACUGACUCACAACAUAUGCCAACUUUAGGCCAGCACUUCAGAGUCAUACAAGGUUGUCUUCUGGCAGAUACUAGUCAAUUCAACCCAUAAAGCAAAAUGAUUCUGGUAAUAAGAGCAUAAGACCAGUGAAUAAUCUCAUGCUUACAUAUCACUUUCUUUACUACUUUUGCUGGAAAAUGAGGUCUCUGGUCAGAACCAAUGUUAUCUGGACUACCAUGAUUGCGUAAGACAUUCAGUAAAUCUACAAAUGAUGUUGCUGGCAGAGAAUGCAAACCCAUAGCCAGAAUAAACGCCCUUUUUAGGAAGGGCAAAUUAAUCCCGCCUCCAUAAUGAAAGGAUUCCAAUGAAACCAACCUGCCACCAGAUGGCAGGCUGGUCUUCUCCUGAUCAGGUACCAUAUUGAAGGCUUAGAGCUGCUGCUGACAGUUGGACCCUCAACUGCGGUGAGACUUAGGCAGAGAUUGCUAUUAUUCACUCAAUAUCCACUGUCCUCUUCUUCCUUA